GGUUGGGUGGCUCAGUCGGUUGAGUGCCUGACUUCAGCUCAGGUCAUGAUCUCACGGUUUUGUGGGUUCCAGCCCCACCUUGGGCU
rfam:Felis catus isolate Cinnamon breed Abyssinian chromosome E1, whole genome shotgun sequence.